rnacentral:rRNA from 1 species
GAUGAACGCUGGCGGCGUGCCUAAUACAUGCCAGUCGAGCGAACAGACGAGGAGCUUGCUCCUCUGACGUUAGCGGCGGACGGGUGAGUAACACGUGGAUAACCUACCUAUAAGACUGGGAUAACUUCGGGAAACCGGAGCUAAUACCGGAUAAUAUAUUGAACCGCAUGGUUCAAUAGUGAAAGACGGUUUUGCUGUCACUUAUAGAUGGAUCCGCGCCGCAUUAGCUAGUUGGUAAGGUAACGGCUUACCAAGGCAACGAUGCGUAGCCGACCUGAGAGGGUGAUCGGCCACACUGGAUCUGAGACACGGUCCAGACUCCUACGGGAGGCAGCAGUAGGGAAUCUUCCGCAAUGGGCGAAAGCCUGACGGAGCAACGCCGCGUGAGUGAUGAAGGUCUUCGGAUCGUAAAACUCUGUUAUUAGGGAAGAACAAAUGUGUAAGUAACUAUGCACGUCUUGACGGUACCUAAUCAGAAAGCCACGGCUAACUACGUG